AUAAAAUGUAAAAAUAAAAUGUAGUUGCAAAAAAAGAAAUUAAAUAUGAUUGCAAUAUUUAGAUUUUUUUUCAUAAUUAGGCAUAUUGAAAAUCUAACAUAAUAUACAAAUUAAUUAGAUUAUUAUAAUACUUAAUCUAUAAUAAAAAUAAAAUUUAAAAGCUAAAGUGCGAUGAAUUAAAAUUAUAUAAUGAAGCUAAAAGUUUAAACAAGUGCAAAGUUAAGUAA
rnacentral:misc_RNA from 1 species